rnacentral:ncRNA from 1 species
UGGUUGGCUUUGGUGAAAAGGGAAACAGGUGUGAAUCCUGUACGAACUCGUCACCGUAUUUAUGGAGCGUGAAUCAAUAUGUCACUGGGAAACCGGGAAGGCGGUUCACGUGUUGAGAGAUAAGCCGGGAGACCUGCCUGAGGC